AACCCCAAAAGUAGGCAUCAAAACGUUCAAAACCCCAAAAGUAGGCACCAAAAGCUUCAAAACUUAUAAUGUUAAUUCACAACAUUGUUGUUGUUAAGGCAUUUUACGAAAAGUCAUUUCAAUUUAGUCAGAUUAUUAUUGAUCCAUGUUAUCAAUUCAUUAGUUUCAGUUAAUUAUAAAGUAGUUUAAAAAGUCUGAACCAAAUAAAACACAGCAGAUUGUAUGGAGUCAUUACUUACAGUGUUCACUCCCCCUGGCCACAGGGGGCGACAGCAAAUCGCUUGUGUUGAGUCGUUGACUUUACAGUAGUCCCUCAUACAGGGCAUGCAUCUUGUGACAAUGGAGAGAAAGAACUCCCCUCUAACAGGAACAAACCAACAGCAGAAUCAGAACCGGGCUCAGUACCAGCAGCCAUCUGCCAUGACCGACUGGAGGGAGAGUUUCAUCAGGUGUCCCACAGCAGCUUGAUGGAAUCGGACUCUGGUACCAUCAGGAAUGAGCCGAACUGGGUCGGCGGUGUGUCGCUACGACUCGCUCAUCUGAGGCGCCAUUGGUGGGGGAGAUUUGAGAUCAAACAGCCUGAAAAAGGCCUCGCCUGUUGAGUUUGAGUCGCCACGUCAUACUGAGCUGAUGGAGACUGGAAGAGAGGAGACGCAGCGAGCUUCUCCUGCUGGGCAGAUCUGAGAGAAGAAAAUGAGAAUUUAAUUAUACCGUCCUGAUGAGAAGCUUCUUUUAGACCCAGAUGAACUCCAUACAUCCAUGCCUGGUUGCCUUCAUCCAUCCAUCCAUCCAUCCUGUUUUCCUCUCUCUAUCCAUUCUGGUUCCAUCCAUCCAUCCAUCCACCCAACCUGGUUCUCUCCAUCCAACCUGAUUCCAUCCAUCCAUCCGACCGCCCACCCACCUUGUCAUUAUUGCUAUGUUUACUCUAUCUGGAAUGUUUAACUUUUUCUCCAAUGUUUAACACAAAAGGAAACUUUUCUGGAGAUGAAAUUUGACAUCUUAUAAACAUUGACAAUAAUGUUAAACAUCAAGGAUAACGUUAAGCAUUAUCCUUGAUUAAAUAAAAAAUCGAGGACAACAUUAAAUAUCCUAUGUAUUAAAUGCUAAACAAAGGAGAUAAAGUUAAACAUUCAGUGAAUAAUUUAAACAUCCUGUUUUCAAAUGGUGAUAAAUGUGCAAAUAUACUUAAAGUUUAGCAUUAAGCUGCUAGUUAAAGGGAUUUUAAUAAAGUGCAAAGGUGCUCAUAAAGUGCUGUACAAGUUGGCUCAAUAAAACUGGUGGCAGUGAUGAAGACCUCUGGCCCAUUUGGGACAAAUAACUGUCCACACCUUGCUGUAGUCUGACUCAUAUGAGGUGGGACCCUUUGUUCAUUUACAAACCAGUCAUAAGUCCAUCCAUCUGUUCUGUAGAGGAUUAUGCUUUAUUCAACUGUCCAACCUUUUAAAAACAAAAUAUAUCUUCAGAUAUUUUUUUUUCUCCUAAUCAUGACUUUUAAACCUGUUUGUCCUGUUCAGUAUUGGUCUUGUUUCAACAUUUCUUCCUGCUUCUUAGCCAUGUUGUUGAGCAAUAUAACGUUCUCAUGAAAUGCAUUUUAGAAUAUUUGUUUAUCUUUUUCUGUGCUGUAUAGUGUUUAUUUUUACCAUUUUGCCUGGGAGAAAGAAAUAUGCUCACCUUGAUAUAACUGUAGGUCACACCCAUCCACACUACACAAAUGGCUGCCUGAGAGGGCUAAAGUCCAAAAGGCAUUGUAACCUUGGGUAAUAAAACAUUACUAAAUUAUG